rnacentral:rRNA from 1 species
GAUGAACGCUGGCGGCGUGCCUAAUACAUGCAAGUCGAGCGAACGGACGAGAAGCUUGCUUUUCUGAUGUUAGCGGCGGACGGGUGAGUAACACGUGGAUAACCUACCUAUAAGACUGGGAUAACUUCGGGAAACCGGAGCUAAUACCGGAUAAUAUUUUGAACCGCAUGGUUCAAAAGUGAAAGACGGUCUUGCUGUCACUUAUAGAUGGAUCCGCGCUGCAUUAGCUAGUUGGUAAGGUAACGGCUUACCAAGGCAACGAUGCAUAGCCGACCUGAGAGGGUGAUCGGCCACACUGGAACUGAGACACGGUCCAGACUCCUACGGGAGGCAGCAAUAGGGAAUCUUCCGCAAUGGGCGAAAGCCUGACGGAGCAACGCCGCGUGAGUGAUGAAGGUCUUCGGAUCGUAAAACUCUGUUAUUAGGGAAGAACAUAUGUGUAAGUAACUGUGCACAUCUUGACGGUACAUAAUCAGAAAGCCACGGCUAACUACGUG